AUAAUGCAGUCGAGCGGAUUGAUGGGAGCUUGCUCCCAUCAGUCAGCGGCGGACGGGUGAGUAACACGUGGGUAACCUGCCUGUAAGACUGGGAUAACUCCGGGAAACCGGGGCUAAUACCGGAUAACUCAUUUCCUCGCAUGAGGAAAUGUUGAAAGGUGGCUUUUAGCUAUCACUUACAGAUGGACCCGCGGCGCAUUAGCUAGUUGGUGAGGUAACGGCUCACCAAGGCGACGAUGCGUAGCCGACCUGAGAGGGUGAUCGGCCACACUGGGACUGAGACACGGCCCAGACUCCUACGGGAGGCAGCAGUAGGGAAUCUUCCGCAAUGGACGAAAGUCUGACGGAGCAACGCCGCGUGAGUGAUGAAGGUUUUCGGAUCGUAAAACUCUGUUGUUAGGGAAGAACAAGUACCGUUCGAAUAGGGCGGUACCUUGACGGUACCUAACCAGAAAGCCACGGCUAACUACGUGCCAGCAGCCGCGGUAAUACGUAGGUGGCAAGCGUUGUCCGGAAUUAUUGGGCGUAAAGCGCGCGCAGGUGGU
rnacentral:rRNA from 1 species